CCGGGCGCACGGGUGAGUAACACGUAUCCAACCUGCCGUCUACUCUUGGCCAGCCUUCUGAAAGGAAAGAUUAAUCCGGGAUGGCAUCAUGAGUUCACAUGUCCGCAUGAUUAAAGGUAUUUUCCGGUAGGCGAUGGGGAUGCGUUCCAUUAGAUAGUAGGCGGGGUAACGGCCCACCUAGUCAACGAUGGAUAGGGGUUCUGAGAGGAAGGUCCCCCACAUUGGAACUGAGACACGGUCCAA
rnacentral:rRNA from 1 species